GGCUCAGAACGAACGCUGGCGGCGUGCCUAACACAUGCAAGUCGAGCGAGAAAGCCCGCAAGGGUGAGUAAAGCGGCGCACGGGUGCGUAACACGUGGGUAAUCUGCCCUGAAGUCCGGAAUAACUCGCCGAAAGGCGUGCUAAUGCCGGAUAAGACCACGGGAACCUCGGUUCCUGCGGGAAAAGGUGGCCUCUGUAUACAAGCUAUCACUUCAGGAUGAGCCCGCGGCCCAUCAGCUAGUUGGCGGGGUAACGGCCCACCAAGGCUACGACGGGUAGCUGGUCUAAGAGGACGAUCAGCCACACUGGAACUGAGACACGGUCCAGACUCCUACGGGAGGCAGCAGUGGGGAAUCUUGCGCAAUGGGCGAAAGCCUGACGCAGCAACGCCGCGUGUGUGAUGAAGGUCUUCGGAUCGUAAAGCACUGUCGGGAGGGACGAAUAAGGCCGGCGCUAACAUCGCCGGUUGAUGACGGUACCUCCAAAGGAAGCACCGGCUAACUCUGUGCCAGCAGCCGCGGUAAUACAGAGGGUGCAAGCGUUGUUCGGAAUUAUUGGGCGUAAAGCGCGUGUAGGCGGCUUAGUAAGUCGGAUGUGAAAGCCCUCGGCUUAACCGAGGAAGGGCGUUCGAUACUGCUGAGCUUGAGUGCCGGAGAGGGUGGCGGAAUUCCCGGUGUAGAGGUGAAAUUCGUAGAUAUCGGGAGGAACACCAGCGGCGAAGGCGGCCACCUGGACGGUAACUGACGCUGAGACGCGAAAGCGUGGGGAGCAAACAGGAUUAGAUACCCUGGUAGUCCACGCUGUAAACGAUGAGCGCUAGGUGUUGUGGGUGUUGACCCCCGCAGUGCCGAAGCUAACGCAUUAAGCGCUCCGCCUGGGAAGUACGGCCGCAAGGCUAAAACUC
rnacentral:rRNA from 1 species